CGGCACACGGGGACCUGAGGAACACCGUUGCUAAAGUUGCUGGGCUACGUAUGUAGCCCGCGCGACCGUUCUAGGUAAUAAUGGCGGUGAACGAAGGUCAAAUUCGGAGAUGGCUUAUGGAAGACGAGGAAAAUAGUGAUAACUUGAC